ACGGGUAUGCCUUAGUAGCGGCGAGUGAAGCGGCAAAAGCUCAAAUUUGAAAUCUGGCACCUUCGGUGUCCGAKUUGUAAUUUGAAGAUUGUAACCUUGGGGUUGGCUCUUGUCUAUGUUUCUUGGAACAGGACGUCACAGAGGGUGAGAAUCCCGUGCGAUGAGAUGCCCAAUCCUAUGUAAGGUGCUUUCGAAGAGUCGAGUUGUUUGGGAAUGCAGCUCUAAGUGGGUGGUAAAUUCCAUCUAAAGCUAAAUAUUGGCGAGAGACCGAUAGCGAACAAGUACAGUGAUGGAAAGAUGAAAAGAACUUUGAAAAGAGAGUGAAAAAGUACGUGAAAUUGUUGAAAGGGAAGGGUUUGAGAUCAGACUCGAUAUUUUGUGAGCCUUGCCUUCGUGGCGGGGUGACCCGCAGCUUAUCGGGCCAGCAUCGGUUUGGGCGGUAGGAUAAUGGCGUAGGAAUGUGACUUUGCUUCGGUGAAGUGUUAUAGCCUGCGUUGAUGCUGCCUGCCUAGACCGAGGACUGCGAUUUUAUCAAGGAUGCUGGCAUAAUGAUCCCAAACCGCCCGUCUUGAAMCMCGGGAMACA
rnacentral:rRNA from 1 species